GGAGGGUUGGCUGAGUGGUCUAAAGCACACGGUUGCUAACUGUGCGAAUUCGAAUAGGAUUCCAAGGGUUCGAAUCCCUUACCCUCCGCCA
rnacentral:tRNA from 2 species